AGUGAACGCUGGCGGUAGGCCUAACACAUGCAAGUCGAACGGCAGCACAGGAGAGCUUGCUCUCUGGGUGGCGAGUGGCGGACGGGUGAGGAAUACAUCGGAAUCUACUCUGUCGUGGGGGAUAACGUAGGGAAACUUACGCUAAUACCGCAUACGACCUACGGGUGAAAGCAGGGGAGCUUCGGCCCUUGCACGAAUGAAUGAGCCGAUGUCGGAUUAGCGAGUUGGCGGGGUAAAGGCCCACCAAGGCGACGAUCCGUAGCUGGUCUGAGAGGAUGAUCAGCCACACUGGAACUGAGACACGGUCCAGACUCCUACGGGAGGCAGCAGUGGGGAAUAUUGGACAAUGGGCGCAAGCCUGAUCCAGCCAUACCGCGUGGGUGAAGAAGGCCUUCGGGUUGUAAAGCCCUUUUGUUGGGAAAGAAAUCCAGCUGGCUAAUACCCGGUUGGGAUGACGGUACCCAAAGAAUAAGCACCGGCUAACUUCGUGCCAGCCGCCGCCGUAA
rnacentral:rRNA from 1 species